rnacentral:rRNA from 1 species
AUUGAACGCUGGCGGCAGGCUUAACACAUGCAAGUCGAACGAGUGGCGGACGGGUGCGUAAUGCUUGGGCAUCUAGCUUAUGUAGGGGUCUAACUACGGGAAACUGUAGCUACUACCGCGUACCGUAGUAUGAGCUCACGUGGGAUUAGGUAGUUGGUGAGGUAAAGGCUCACCAAGCCGACGAUCGCUAGCUGGUCUGAGAGGAUGACCAGCCACACGGGGACUGAGACACGGCCCAGACUCCUACGGGAGGCAGCAGUGGGGAAUAUUCCGCAAUGGGCGAAACCUGACGGAGCAAUGCCGCGUGAAUGAAGAAGGUCUUCGGGUUGUAAAGCUCUGUUGGUAGAGAGGCGGUAACGACACAAGAAGCAACGGCUAACUCCGUGCCAGCAGCCGCGGUAAUAC